CCUUUGGCAGUGACUACAGCCUUGAGUCUUCUUGGGAUUCUUUAUUUAACUAGGCAAGUCAGUUAAGAACAAAUUCUUAUUUACAAUGAACAAUGGGUCAACUGCCCUGUUCAGGGGCAGAACGACAGAUUUUUACCUUGUCAGCUCGGGGAUUCGAUCUAGCAACCUUUCGGUUACUAGUCCAACGCUCUACCUACCGCCCCAUAAUGAAUGGGCUGGACAUGCCGAGAGAGGAGUUUCGAAUUGGUCUGCAGUGUAGCAUCGGUCUAUAAAAUGAGCUGCUUGAUAUGUGUAGAUAAUCCUUUCUACUGCUGUUUUUUCUAAAGAUAUAACGUCAGCCAUGGAGAACUGCUCUCAACCAGAGUGACUUGACACAACGGGCCAAGCACGCUGCACAAACUGAACGGAAACGACACAGGACGUCUUGUUUAAUGAAAGGGGUUGAAGUCUGCCGUGAAGCGUUCAUCCACGUAAACGGCAUCAGUAGAAUAACAGACUCUCCUCCACCAGUCAUACAAGGAGACUGGUCUGAUGCCUCCCAUCAAAAAGAGAGCUGGCCCAAGCAAGCACAAGUUACACCUGAAGCAUGAGGACUUGCAGCGAGUGGUGAACUUCAUCAACAACUACGCAGAGGAUAAUGCCAUAGUAUUACCAGGACGCCACCCAGAGGAUAAUGCAAUAGUAUUACCAGGACGCCACCCAGAGGAUAAUGCCAUAGUAUUACCAGGACGCCACCCAGGACACAAACUCUGGUGGAAACUGCUACCAUCACAUGACAAAAGCAGCGGUGUGGCGUCUCUACAAGGAAUCGAUGACAACACUUGUGUGAAGCAUAAUAACAUUUUGAUUAUUUAAAUUUACCUCCAACAUGUUUGCCACUACUUUAAAGAUCUUAAAUUAUGUAUUUUCCAGAGGUAUGUGUCAUCAGACUGUCUUCAGGAAUCUGUGGAGAAAACUUCUGCCCCACAUCAAGCACUAAGUCCAGGACAGACCUGCGCUGGCAGUACCAGAGAAACAACUAUCAGGUCUUCAGAUCUAAGCUGUUAAGUCAGCCAAGCUGAAGAAGCAAGAGCAUCAUCUCCUGCUUGUUCAGAGUGAGUCUGUCUACCAGAAGAUGGUUGCUGACUGCAAGACCACCUGUCAAGACAUGUAGUUGUCUCUGGGGGCCCCUACUGAACCAGCAAGCAAAGACAUCAGGAUACAUUACAGCUUUACUCAACAAGUAAGCAACAUGUCCUCCUUUAUACUGAUUAAGGACAUAGAUGGGAUAUAUACAAACUACAUAUGGGAAGUAUUGGUAUUUUUCCAGAACAUGUGAGCUCAUUUCAGAGGAGUUCGCAGGAUGACAUGACUGUUUAUUUCUGUACCAGUGCUAUGGCCUAAUAUUUACUGUUGCUAUGGUUGAUUAUGCCUAUUGGGAUUUUUCCAUAACAGGUGUGCUCAUUUCAGAGGAGCCAGCAAGAAUAGUGCACUGUGUGUCUGGGUCAUUAGACACCAUUAGAUGUGCACCUGUCUGGGGAGUGGACAUGACUGUUUAUUAAAGUUUCCAUGCCCUAAUAUGAAACCAAAUUUAAAUGAGUGCAAGGCAAUAAGACAACGGUGGCUAAAUGCCAGAGGAGAUGAGUCAUUAAGAGGAGUUACUGUGUGUGACGUAAGGAGGAGAAAUGUAUAAAGAGUAUGUGGCAAGGCUGGAAAGUUAGUUGUUUUCAUGAUCCAGCUCGGCUUUUAUUAUGUUGUAAUAAAAGUCUAUUUGAACUCACAGCCCCCGGUAUUUGAGAAACGUUAUUGACUGAAUAUUUCCACGACAGACACAGGGAAAUGCCUUUCACUGAGCUGUGUAUAGACAGACUGACAGGGGUGAGACAAUUCAGUUGAAUUUCUUAAUGUUAGUUGUUUGCAGGUGCACUAUCCUUCUGACCCUACGCAGCCAGGUCCCAUCUACUUUUUAACUCAAAAGUGUGGCUUGUUUGGUGUCUGCUGUGAAGGAAUACCACAAGUCAACUACUUGAUUGCUGGAUGACAUGCCUUCAUCAAAGGCAGCAGCGCAGUCAUCAGCUACGUGCACCGUGUCCUCACCAACUACGGAGUUGGGGAAACACGUGGGGACCUGAAUUGUGAUAACUGCAGUGGCAAAACAAGAACAAGUUUGUGCUCUGGUAUUGUGCCUGGUGGACUCGGCACAACCUCCACCACAGUCUGGACCUUCACUUCCUGAUCACAGGCCACACCAAGUUUUCCCCCAACAGGUGCUUCGGCCUCAAGCAGCGCUUCAGAAAGACCAGAGUGAACACUUUCUCCGAGAUUGCUGGUGUUGUGAAGCACUGUGACAGGGGUCAACGUCCCACAGCUGGGUGGACUGGAGGAUAGUACGGUGCAACGCUAUGGCUGGCAACAACACCUGACUCCAUACUUCAGGCCACUGCCACAGAUCAAGCAGUACCAGUACUUUAGCUUCGAUGAUCUGGAGCCGGGUGUUGUUGUCGCCACGGAGCUUCUGGACCCAGUCAGUACCAGGUUUCAACUGCUGCGCAACGCUGACAUCCUUCCUCCCAUAGAUGGUCUGCCUGUACAAGCACCACCUGGACAAGACACAGCUAGACAAAUGUAUAUUUUUGAGAAGAUCAGGGAGUUUUGCGAUGAAGAGGCUAUGGACAUCACAUGCCCUGCACCAAAGUCAAGGUCAGGACAGAAACAGGCUCUUCAAAUAUAGAUUCCCUUGUUCAUGCGUGGUUCGGACGGACCCGUUUAUCACUGGGGGCGAGUUCCCAGUCAUCAGCACAAUCUGCAAUAUCUCUAUUCACAUGACUCUCCUAACACACACAAUACGUUGCUGCUACUAUUUUUUAUUUUAUUAACCUGCUGCUCAGCCACUUUGCCCCUGAUUGUAUGCAUAGAACUCACUCAUCUAUCACUGAUAUCAUUAUUGAUAUUAUUCUUGUACUAAUGUAUAUUAUUUUAUUUCUCUACUGGCAUUGACACUAUUGACAUGGUCUAUUUUUGAUAUUGCUACUAUGCAAGUAACCAUUUGGCUGUACCGUUUGCACCUUCGGUAGAGAUCCAUCCACUUGGCAAGAUGUGGCUGGUGGUUACAGCAUUUCUUUCACAUGACCCAUCAGUUUAGACAAGUGUGUCUGGGUAAGGCGUCAUCUAAUAUUUAUAAAAUCUUUUUUUUAUCUGGGCUCUUUGUUUUACCUGUAAUUUUUCCUUAUUGUAGGCUUCUACUUUUAGUCUUUACCUUGAGCACAUGACCUCAUGUGGAUCCUUAAAGAGAUGGGUGGCUUUACACGGAACCAUCGUGCAUGAAUUUAUUUCGUCCCCCCACACCAAACGCGAUCACGACACGCAGGUUAAAAUAUCAAAACAAACUCUGAACCAAUUAUAUUAAAUUUGGGGACAGGUCGAAAAGCAUUAAACAUUUAUGGCAAUUUAGCUAGCUAGCUUGCUGGCUAAUUUGUCCUAUUUAGCUAGCUUGCUGUUGCUAGCUAAUUUGUCCUGGGAUAUAAACAUUGAGUUGUUAUUUUACCUGAAAUGCACAAGGUCCUCUCCUCAGUCAAUUAAUCCACACAUAAAACAGUCAACUGAAUCGUUUCUAGUCAUCUCUCUUCCUUCCAGGCCUUUUCUUCUCUUGACUUUAUAUUGCGAUUGGCAAAUUUCAUAAAUUAGGUGCAUUACCGCCACUGACCUUGUUCAUCUUUCAGUUACCCAUGUGGGUAUAACCAAUGAGGAGAUAGCACGUAGGUACCUGCUUCUAUAAACCAAUGAGGAGAUGGGAGAGGCAGGACUUGCAGCGCAAUCUGUGUCAGAAAUAGAACUGAUUUCUAUUUUAGCCCUUGGCAACGCAGACGCUUGUUGGCGCACGCGAGCAGUGUGGGUGCAAUAAUUGAAUGACAGAUUUCUACAUUUAUUUUGCAAUGCUCGCGCACACGAGCAGGGUGGUCAAUCUGUUAGACUAGAGGGUGUGGACAAUGAUUAAUGGGUGUAGACAAAGAGCAGCUCUCCAGUAGGUGUACCAAAACAUUCAAGGGCAGGUGGGUAUAAUGUGUUACAUUCCAACAGGAAUCUGUCCCAAAAACGUGGUAAAUAACAAGGUUGGCAACAAACAACGCAUACAAAGUUGUAUAGCAGCAGAAUAAGAUACCGGGUAGGGAGUGGGCUAUUUAAUUACAUUUUACUCGCUAUGUUUAUUCUGAAAAAUGUAUGUCCUCACUCUGGGGGCAAACUACCUGCCCUGCAGGACACCUUCACCACCCGGUGUCACAGAAAGGCCAUAAAGAUCAUCAAGGACAACAAUCACCCGAGCCACUGCCUGUUCACCCCGCUAUCAUCCAGAAGGCGAAGUCAGUACAGGUGCAUCAAAGCAGGGACCGAGAGACUGAAAAACAGCUUCUAUCUCAAGGCCAUCAGACUGUUAAACAGCCAUCCCUAACAUUGAGUGGCUGCUGCCAACAUACUGACUCAACUCCAGCCACUUUAAUAAUGGAAAAAUUGAUGUAAAAAUGUAUCACUAGCCACUUAAUAUAAUGUUUACAUACCCUACAUUACUCAUCUCAUAUGUAUAUACUGUACUGGAUACCAUCUACUGCAUCUUGCCUAUGCCGUUCUGUACCAUCACUCAUUCAUAUAUCUUUAUGUACAUAUUCUUUAUCCCUUUACACUUGUGUGUAUAAGGUAGUUGUUGUUAAAUUGUUAGGUUAGAUUACUCGUUGGUUAUUACUGCAUUGUCGGAACUAGAAGCACAAGCAUUUCGCUACACUCGCAUUAACAUCUGCUAACCAUGUGUAUGUGACAAAUAACAUUUGAUUUGGUAGCCUAAUGACAAACAUUAAGAAUAAACUACGUGGGUGAGUUGAUGCCUAUUCGGCAGCUAGUUAGCUAGGUCAAUUGAUCAUGCUACUUUGUAUGCGUUGUUUGUUGACAACCUUGGUCUUUACGAAGUUUUUGUAACAGAUUCCUGUUGGAUCGUUCCACAAAUUAUACCCACUCUUCCAAGGGCAGCCGCCCAUAGAGUCUUCGCAGCCUGAAUGUUUGACGUCCGUAGUUUAAGAACUUACAUUUUGACAUAUCGACUGCACAGAGACUCCAGAGUUCGAGGUUCAUUCAUUUUUCUUAGCCUGAGCUCAACUCCAUGGAGGAGUUCAGAUACUUGGCUAGCUAAUACGGUAACUAAGCAAUACAAACCUGCUCUGUGUAACCUUAUCUCUGGCUUGAAAACCAAAUCCAACAGUCUUCGUAGACGGCCAUUCUCCUCCUUCAAAUGGUAGACUUCUUCAUGCGACUCUGCUAUGGUUGUCUCUUUGGCUACGGCUAUCUCUAGAGCAGCAGCCACUGUUGGUCGUUCAGUAGCAUACAAGUUCAACAACUGUAGCUUAGACAUUUUGAGCGGAAUGAAAGUCGACGUGUUCCUAUUAUUCUACUCUACCAGUAACAUUAUAUCGACAAAAAAAACUACAAUUGAGAUAGCCUAUAUAAAUAGGGUGAAAAACUAAAGACACCGCUUCCCAUUCAUUUUCAAUGGAAUGAGGGCGGGCCCUUUCGGCGGUGAAAAAUAUAAACUUUCCCCAACUUUAUGCAAAUCACCAGUCAAUCAUAUCGAGUGGUUCCCGUGAUGAAUUUGACGCUCUGAGACCCAACAUGGCUGACAAAAAUACUAGGAUGAUAAGCCUGAUAAGGCUGAUGAUAAGGCUGACGAUACUGACGAUAAAUUCCCACAUUAAUAAAUGUGAACUCAUGGUUGUCAAAGAUUAUGUGACACCUUCAUAUUAUGGUAUUCCAGUGAAAGAAGAACUUACAUAUUUAGGCAUAACCAUUACUAAGGAUCAGAAGUCUAGAGGCUUACUACAUUUUAACCCUCAUAUUAAAAAAACCCAGAAGAAGCUAAAUCAAUGCCUACAGAGGGACUUAUCUUUAAACAGAAGAGUCCUAAUAACCAAGGCUGAAGGUUUCUCUAGACUAACAUAUGGCACUCUAUCUUUAUAUCUUCACAGUAAAAUAAGCAAGGAGAGAGACCAGAUACUUUUCAACGUCUGUGGAGAAACCGUACCCAUUACAUUAGGAAAACUGUUGUAAUGAACACUUAUGAGAGUGGUGGGCUGAAUUUCCUGGACUUUACUACCUUAAAUAAUACUUUUAAGAUCAAUUGGAUAAAACAAUUCCUAAGACGACCCACUUCUAUCUGGAAUUUUAUUCCUCAUCAUGUCUUCUCUACUUUUGGUGGCCUUAACUUCAUGUUGUUUUGCAAUUAUAAUAUUGACAAAGUUCCAGUGAAACUUUCUGCUUUUCAUCGGCAGGUUCUUGUCAUUGUCCUUAAUUUAUAAACAUAAUUUUUCUCCACACAGAUAUUAUAUAUGGAAUAAUCGGGAUAUAUUGUAUAAAAAUACUUCUUUGUUUUUAGAAUAUUGGUUCUGAAAUAAUAUCCUAUUGGUGAGCCAACUGGUAAAUGCAGAGGGUCUUUUACUCAGUUAUAAGGAAUUCUUAUCACUUUACAAGGUCCCUGUAACACCUAAAGAUUUUGCAAUUGUUUUAGAUGCCAUUCUCUCAGGUGUUGCUUUAUUAUUCAGGAACGUGUCAAGACCCUCAGAGCCUACUUUCUAUUGACCUUGUUGACUCAUCAGUAGGAAAGAUUUGUUUCUCUUUUGGUCCAUUCAACAACAGAGCGAUACGAACCUUGUUUCAGCAGGAUAUUGUAUACCUUAUGUCAUGCCUUAUUGGAAUGGAUUUAUUGAUAAUAUCUGUUGGGGAAAAGUUUGGAUGUUGCCACACACAUACCUACUUGUUAACAAAAUGAAGUACGUUUCCUUUAAAAUUAUUCAUAAAUAUUAUCCUGCCAACCACUAUAUGAAGAAGUUUAAGGAAAACAUCAACUCAAAUUGCUCCUUUUGUAAUGACCACCCAGAAACAGUGUUGCGUCUUUUUUGGCAUUGUAUUCAUGUAAGAAAACUGUGGCAAGACAUCAGUAGAUGUAUAAUUGAACACAUUUAUGAAGGUCUUACACUAUUGUGGAGACAUAUACUGCUUGGAUUCUUUACCUACGAUAGGAAUAAACUGAAACAUUUUGGGUAAUUAAUUUCAUUAUUCUUUUGGCCAAAUUUCAUAUUUACAAAUGUAAAUUUACAAACAAAAAAAACUAAUGUUCUUACCCUACAAAAAGAAAUUGAACUGUAUUUUAAGACAAUUAAAUACUCUACUAACAAAAAAGCUGUUAGAAUUAUAAGUGUAUGUAUAUCCCUUAAGGUCCUUAUGUAAUGAGAUAUUAUAACCCCUAUAAAAUAAAUAAUAAUAAUACUAGGAUGGGAGCAAAUGGCAGUGAUUAUAUCGUCAUAACGAAUCAUGCAAAAAAAUUACAGUUGAGAGGAAUAUGUUAGUUAAUGUAGCGACAAACGAUUAUGCAUAUUUUUUUGUUGUCAUAAAGUUAAUUUACGAAAAUCACAAUUUAGGAAGCUAGCUGACUAACUAACAUUAGCACUGGCUAGCUUUAUGGGUAUUGUGACAUGCGUAUGAAAUUGUAAUUCUGUAAUUCCAGGCUGUCAUCUUGUGAAACAGCGGAUAUAAAGAAUCUAACUAGCUAAAGAGUUUACUGCAAAUUGAAUGUACAAUUUUGUAAGCUUGCUUUGCUGAUAUUUGUCAUGCAAUGCAGAUAGAUGAAGUAAUGUAACGUUAGCUAGCUAACUAUUUUCUUGCUUAUUGUGCAGUGGAGGAUAAAAAUACCUGUAUGCCUAUGUAACAGAUGUUUUAUGUACUCUCCAUGCGUUGUGUUUUCUCAUAAUAAAUCACUUCGGCCAGUG